rnacentral:rRNA from 1 species
ACUCCUACGGGAGGCAGCAGUGGGGAAUCUUGCGCAAUGGGCGAAAGCCUGACGCAGCCAUGCCGCGUGAAUGAUGAAGGUCUUAGGAUUGUAAAAAUUCUUUCACCGGGGACGAUAAUGACGGUACCCGGAGAAGAAGCCCCGGCUAACUUCGUGCCAGCAGCCGCGGUAAUACGAAGGGGGCUAGCGUUGCUCGGAAUUACUGGGGCGUAAAGGGAGCGUAGGCGGACUGUUUAGUCAGAGGUGAAAGCCCAGGGGCUCAACCUUGGAAUUGCCUUUGAUACUGGCAGUCUUGAGUACGGAAGAGGUAUGUGGAACUCCGAGUGUAGAGGUGAAAUUCGUAGAUAUUCGGAAGAACACCAGUGGCGAAGGCGACAUACUGGUCCGUUACUGACGCUGAGGCUCGAAAGCGUGGGGAGCAAACAGGAUUAGAUACCCUGGUAGCUACGAG